rnacentral:lncRNA from 1 species
CGCAAUGAACAAUCAUAAGAAAAUCAGGAGGUGGAAUGUCAUAACAAGAUGCAUAUGCAAGAUUGAAGAAAAAGGACAAAUACAAAAAAUAGGGCACAAAUCAUCAUGACAGAGUAACCAAUACCCCACUUUUUUCAAAAGAAAAGAUUACUAGUGUGACAGGAUUGCAAAAUAAGUUCAUUCCUUAGGUAAAAUUGUGAAGAAGAGGAAGUCUGCAUGGCCAUUUGUGCAAAUAAGGCAUGUUGGGUAGUAAGUAGCAGAACACACACCUCAAAUUGGCUUCAAAUAGUGAUGGCAAGCAUUAUUUACAUCACAGAGGGGCAGACAAUGCAGUGGCUGAUCAGAGCUUUCCUGAUACCAUCAUGCUUUUUAGAGGCCUCUGCUCUGCCAGCCUGGGAGUCAUCUUCACCCUCAGGCUGGUAGACUCCAGUCUCUUAGGUCAGAAUGGGAUUAGAGACCCGUUCCUGAACCAGUCACACACAGCGGGUGAAACUGCUAUGAUUGGUUUAGACUUAGAGACUGGAAUGGAUGCUGUCCCCAGAUAGCAGAUGACUGGUAGGAAGAUGAGGCAAGUUUGCGGUCCAUUGUCAUGGAUAGUGGAGACAACACUGGGCCAGAAGUGGUAAGACCUGAAUCCAAGACUCAGCUCUGCCACUUGCUAAAUGGGACUUUGAAUAAACCAUUUCUCUGCACUUAAGUUCCUUACCAACAAAACGAGGGAAGUGGCCUACAUGCCUAGAUAUCAACAUUUCAUGUCACGUAGAGAUCUAGCAUCACAAGAAUCCAAGUCAUCCUCUGUUGCCUUUAAGAUUUCAGCAUGGUGAAGGAAAAGUAGCAGAAGACUGAAUGCAUACUCAGUUUUCAAGCUCUGGAUUUAAUCUUUCCAUAGCUGGAAUUGCCUCCUCCUCAAAAGCCUUAUUUGUUCAUUUAAUUGGGGCAACAUGAAAUAAUGAUGUAUCAUUGACAGAGAACAGGGGGCUUAGGUUCUCAUCUUGGUCCUAGUGAUUACUCUAUGCAUAACCUCAACUUCUUUAUCUGUACAUUGGGAACAAUAAUUCUUACUCCACUUGUUGUGUUGAAACUGAAUUAUAUAAUUCAUAAAUUAAAAC